rnacentral:rRNA from 1 species
UGGAUAGUAUUAUUAAUGAAAUUUAACGGAUUUGGCGGCAAGAUAGCCACUUAGAGGAACCUGCCCUGUAAACGAUGAGCCACGAUUAACCUUACUUUUACUAGGAUUCAGUUUGUAUACCGCUGUUGUCAGUUAGUUUCCCUAGAAAACUUUCGUACAUGAUAAAUUCAAGGACUUCAAGUAAAGGUGCAGCUUAUGUAAAAGAUAGAGGUGGGUUACAAUUAAAAGAAUAAUAUGGAUAAAGUAAAGAAAAAACUUUUGAAGGUGGAUUUAAUAGUAAAGUUUAAUAAGACUUGAUUAGAGCUCUAUCUUGUGUACACACCGCCCGUCGCUCGCGGGA